rnacentral:misc_RNA from 1 species
CCAAUAGCGUAUAUUAAAGUUGUUGUGGUUAAAAAGCUCGUAGUUGAACCUUGGGCCUGGCUGGCCGGUCCGCCUCACCGCGUGUACUGGUCCGGCCGGGCCUUUCCCUCUGUGGAACCCCAUGCCCUUCACUGGGUGUGGCGGGGAAACAGGACUUUUACUGUGAAAAAAUUAGAGUGCUCCAGGCAGGCCUAUGCUCGAAUACAUUAGCAUGGAAUAAUAGAAUAGGACGUGUGGUUCUAUUUUGUUGGUUUCUAGGACCGCCGUAAUGAUUAAUAGGGACAGUCGGGGGCAUCAGUAUUCAAUUGUCAGAGGUGAAAUUCUUGGAUUUAUUGAAGACUAACUACUGCGAAAGCAUUUGCCAAGGAUGUUUUCAUUAAUCAGGAACGAAAGUUAGGGGAUCGAAGACGAUCAGAUACCGUCGUAGUCUUAACCAUAAACUAUGCCGACUAGGGAUCGGACGGUGUUAUUUUUUGACCCGUUCGGCACCUUACGAGAAACAAAGUGUUUGGGUUC